GAGAAAUUCCGGAGAUAAGGUGCUUAAAAGUAAGUUGUAACGCUUGUACAGAAGUCGUGAAAGCCGUGUAGGCAGGAAACGCAUGUCUCGUUUCUAAAAAAGCCUGUUAUCCCAUGACUCAACUCACGUUCAUCAUCCUCCCUUCCCUUCACUCUUAUCUAUACAUACACCACAAUCCACAUCGUAUCUAUUCAUACUUGACCGCCUUUACUGAUCGGAGACGCUGCUCUGAUCGCCGCCCCGGCGGUGAUCGCUCCGAUCAUUAUUUCUCGGCAAUCGUGUCCACUCCAGUCUGCUAGGGAACAGUUGUUAAUUUAAGACGGUUCGAAGUGUUAUUUAGAUUAUCUAAACGACUGCGUUUCAUGCUCCAGUUUACUAGAGAUAUGCAGGACAGAUGAUGCUGAGUGCACUGCUGACAUUGCCUAUAAGUAUUCAAAAGCAUUCAAUCAGAAUUUCUCAGACCGAUCAGAGGCUAUGCUUAGAUUGAUAAAUACUUUCAGGAGGGGCUGGAUUGCACUUAGAAUCUUAAACGAGAACUCAUGGAUAAACUUAUUCCUUUUAGACAAUAAAACAUUAUUCUGCAAUAGCAACAAUAAAAGAUAACUUAGGACAACGACUGAUAACAGAAUUGUUAAAUGUCCAGUUUCCAUGAGGUUGAUGCUUGCUUCAUUUCUUUGGUUCUGUUUUCUUGGAGUUGCCAUCAGCAGCAGGUGGGGUAGAGAUGAGAGCAGCAACUUUCUGUGUCAGCUCGGUGAACAGAGCCCUUUGCUCCUGUCUCAGCUCCUCAGCUUGCUUCCUGAGCCUCUCAUUCUCUUGAAAGAUCUGGCAGUUCUUCAAGUAAAGUUCUGAGUUGUUCCUGUCCAUGCUGGAGUGCUCGCUUUUGCCUGGAAAAAAUAAACAUGAAAAGCAAUUGUCAGUCAACCUGUUCUGUGCAUUAAUAGAACAACAUAUCAUCUAAUCUAGUAGUGUGUGUGUGUGUGUGUGUUAUAGUUCGUGACGGAAUUUGUUGCAUUGGAUGUGGGAAAGAUGAAAACUUGUAAACCUUGUCGAGAUUGCUGUUAUUCUGUAAGUUGUUUUGAUUUGAUUUGAGAUGUC